rnacentral:rRNA from 1 species
GUGGGGAAUAUUGCACAAUGGGGGAAACCCUGAUGCAGCGACGCCGCGUGAAGGAAGAAGUAUCUCGGUAUGUAAACUUCUAUCAGCAGGGAAGAUAGUGACGGUACCUGACUAAGAAGCCCCGGCUAACUACGUGCCAGCAGCCGCGGUAAUACGUAGGGGGCAAGCGAUAUCCGGAUUUACUGGGUGUAAAGGGAGCGUAGACGGUGUGGCAAGUCUGAUGUGAAAGGCAUGGGCUCAACCUGUGGACUGCAUUGGAAACUGUCAUACUUGAGUGCCGGAGGGGUAAGCGGAAUUCCUAGUGUAGCGGUGAAAUGCGUAGAUAUUAGGAGGAACAACAGUGGCGAAGGCGGCUUACUGGACGGUAACUGACGUUGAGGCUCGAAAGCGUGGGGAGCAAACAGGAUUAGAAACCCUUGUAGUCC